AUGCAUAAGCUCGUAAAUUUUCAUUAUUUGGACAAGACGAAAUUUAUGAAUGGAAAAUACGAUGAAGAGGAAGAGGCUAUGGUUUUUGACACAAGUCCAAGCUUUGAUGAUCUUGUAGUGAAAGUGAGAAGCGUCUUACAUUGGAAUGACCCAAAUGUCGAGGUUAAUCUUAUUGGGAGGUAUGACAUUGGAUUGGGAGUAAAGUCCCGACUAAAGAGUAUGCCCAUCACCUCCCAAUUGCAUUGGAAUGUGUACAAGGACAAAGUAGACGCAUCACAAGACAAGUCUCUUGAGAUAUUUGCCACAAAGGUUGAUCCUCCUCCCUUGCAAAUUGAUAUGAACCACAAUGUAUCCUCCCCAAUACAUGAUGGUAGUGCCGAGGUGUAUGUCCCCAAUUGUUCUAGCCAACCACCAAGUAGCCAACCCAAUGAAGAUCAUAUCAAUGCUAGCGCCAUAGUACUCCGAGAUAAUGUUAUUCCUCUUGUUCAAGAAGAUGCUAGUGGUCAUGUUGAUGAUGAUAUUGUUGCUCAAGAGGAUGCUUAUGCGGAGAAUGAGGAGAUUCAGUACAAUGCCAUUGGUAACUUGGAUGUCAUUGUGCGGCAACAAGACAUGGACCAUACCCUCCCUUAUAACCGUAUGUGUGGGUAUGGCUCCGAUGAUGAGGGUCCGGAGGAAGAAUUGGAUGAGGAUGGGUUGACGGUGCAAGAAAAUGAAAUAUAUAAGAAGGUGGCUGGCAAGGAAAGAGGGAUGUCAUUGUUUAGGGAUGUGAGUCUUGCGGACAAGGCUGUUGUUGACGGUGGGAUGAGAUUGGGGUUGUUUGCAUUGAGCCAACAUCGUUCCCCAAGGUCGGUGAUCCUCAGCCACAAAAUGAGGAUGAGAAUGCUCAUUUGA
rnacentral:rRNA from 1 species